rnacentral:rRNA from 1 species
GUCCACGCCGUAAACGAUGUCAACUAGCCGUUGGGGACCUUCGUGUCCUUGGUGGCGUAGCUAACGCGCUAAGUUGACCGCCUGGGGAGUACGGUCGCAAGAUUAAAACUCAAAUGAAUUGACGGGGGCCCGCACAAGCGGUGGAGCAUGUGGUUUAAUUCGACGCAACGCGAAGAACCUUACCAGGUCUUGACAUCCAGAGAAGUCGCUAGAGAUAGCUUCGUGCCUUCGGGAACUCUGAGACAGGUGCUGCAUGGCUGUCGU